AUAUUGUCCAAUAUAUAACAAUAUAUAAGGGUUGUCCUUCUCAACUUUGUUUUUGAACUAUGUCAAGCUUCACUCGUGCGCUACGUUCUGCUUUCUAUAUUUACCGAAACGAUCGCAGGAACGAAGCGGCAGAGGUCUACGGCUGCAGGAUUUCUCCGGGGAACAUCUUGCCGUCACGCUUCACUGGCGUCUGAAGAGCGCCAGGGAAACCCUGACUGCAGGAGCGGGACAAGAGCUGAGACGAGAAAAGAGACAGAGCGUGAGGGAAUGAACGCAGCGGCGCGUGUGUGCGCGAGGCUCUGUGGGAGAGAAACAGUGGGAGGGCUGACUCUUGCGCAUUUGGAAAUUUGGCCUGUAAGUACCCUUCAGCUGGGGAUCAAAGCUGUGCACUGCACACACACCGCCUGAGAACGGACGUAUAGGCCCACAGAGGGAGGAGUGUGUGUGUGUGUGAGAAGGUCAGCAAGAGGCGACUCGUUCUUGGACGCUGUACAAUCUCCAGACGGCGAUCCCCACUGCGCAGGAUUAAACUGUGUGUGUGUGUGGAUCCUGCACUGAAAAACACAGCUUGACAUGCAAAUUUUCCACAGUAUGCUUAAGGGAAUAAACUCACCCAGGAUGACUGUGGGACUUGCAGUGGUUAAAGUUUAUUGCCCCGAACCCUCGUAUAUUUCAGCACUGACCUGCAGUCAGUCCUUCCCACAGCCAUUUGCAUCUGAUCUGGAAUCAGUUCAUGACAUC
ensembl:lncRNA